CCUACUAGAUAUUUAAUGUAAUCGCCAUGAUAAUGGCUAAGAUUUAUUAAGCAUCUGUUAUGUGCUUUAUGGUGCUAAGAACUUCUCAUGUAUUUACUCAUUGAAUCUUCACAAAAACCUUAUGAAGACGGCUCUCUCAAAUGUUAGUGUCUAUAUGAAUCCACCUUGGGAUAUUAGCAAAAUGAGUUUCUGAUGCAGAAGAUCUAGAAAGCGUCUGAAAUUCUGAUAUUCUGUCUCCCAGGUGGAGGAGUUCAGCCAUUAUCUUGACUUUGCCAAAGUCCUAGGCACUCCCAUGCCCUCAGAGUCUCAUUUUGAAUCCAGGCACUUAGGGAUGCUAUUUUUCCACAUCAAACAGCUUCCUCCCAGCAAAAGAAUUCUGAUGACAGUAGUGAAGAUAAUUUUCACUCCUGCUUACAGAAUGACCAAGCAAAAGCAACAAAGAGAAGAAGAAUGAAGUAAAGACAACCAAAGGAAAAGACUGAUGGCUCCUUAAGAAUGGAUCUUGAUAAGGGAAUGAGGGCUGAGGGGUCCAUCUCCUAAACCACCCAACUUACUGACUUCCUACAGCAACACCAUACAGAAAGCUGAACCUUGAGGGGAAGACACAAGAAUCUUGGAUUGGAAAAAAAUUGGGUAACGAUGACAGCCUUUGAGGUCUUGAGAGUAAAACAGAAGCAAAAAAAAGUGUUAUUUUUAUCUUUGGAAGAUGAUUCCCUCUUAAGACUUUUCAAAUGAUUAAGAUUUCAAUUAUGUUCCAGGAAAAAAAUAAGAUUUUUGUUUGACAAAAAAAAAUUUUUCUAGAACAGCAGGGAAGGAAGAGACAGUUUAGCCACAUCCAAGAGACCUGUAAAUUGGGUACAGUGAUGUGAAUGGUGUACCAGUCAUAAAAGAAUGUUAACUGGAGAAGUCUCUGCUGUCUUCCUGAAACUGAGGAGGGUGUAAUCAUCCUUGUGGAAGCGUCCACUUUUACUGAAGAUUGGCUAAAUAAAUCUGUGCCUACUGCAACUCAA